GGGAUAGCAGUUGGAAACGACUGAUAAUACCGCAUAAGCGCACAGCAUCGCAUGAUGCAGUGUGAAAAACUCCGGUGGUAUGAGAUGGGCCCGCGUCAGAUUAGCCAGUUGGCAGGGUAACGGCCUACCAAAGCGACGAUCUGUAGCCCGGCCUGAGAGGGCGGACGGCCACAUUGGGACUGAGACACGGCCCAAACUCCUACGGGAGGCAGCAGUCGGGGGAUAUUGCACAAUGGAGGAAACUCUGAUGCAGCGACGCCGCGUGAGUGAAGAAGUAUUUCGGUAUGUAAAGCUCUAUCAGCAGGGAAGAAAGGCCCGUAAGGGAGAUGACGGUACCUGACUAAGAAGCCCCGGCUAACUACGUGCC
rnacentral:rRNA from 1 species